rnacentral:rRNA from 1 species
UACGUAGGGUGCAAGCGUGUCCGGAAUUAUUGGGCGUAAAGAGCUCGUAGGCGGUCUGUCGCGUCGGCUGUGAAAACCCGGGGCUCAACCCCGGGCCUGCAGUCGAUACGGGCAGACUAGAGUGCGGUAGGGGAGACUGGAAUUCCUGGUGUAGCGGUGAAAUGCGCAGAUAUCAGGAGGAACACCGGUGGCGAAGGCGGGUCUCUGGGCCGUAACUGACGCUGAGGAGCGAAAGCGUGGGGAGCGAACAGG